rnacentral:rRNA from 1 species
UACGUAGGGGGCAAGCGUUGUCCGGAAUCAUUGGGCGUAAAGAGCGUGUAGGCGGCCCGAUAAGUCCGCCGUGAAAGUCCAGGGCUCAACCCUGGGAUGCCGGUGGAAACUGUCGGGCUAGAGUCCGGAAGAGGCGAGUGGAAUUCCUGGUGUAGCGGUGGAAUGCGCAGAUAUCAGGAGGAACACCUAUAGCGAAGGCAGCUCGCUGGGACGGUACUGACGCUGAGACGCGAAAGCGUGGGGAGCGAACAGG